CGUACCCGUUUCCUAGUAACGGUAGCGUUGUGUGACCAUGACUUGAUAGACGGAACUUUACUACUUCACCAACGUCAGGGUGUGACACAAUGUCUAAGAAAUUAGGGAAGUAUACUAAUGGACACGCUACGGCGAAAUGGGAACACGGUCUUGCUAGGGAACAGCUGCAUGAGCCAGGCUGGAAAGUGUUUAUUGCCUUGAUUGUCGAGAACAAACCAGAGGAUGUCAUCAAUGUCAACAACUUGACUUCGGCAAUCAACAGUGGAUCUCGGAGACGUUUUGGUAUCAUCACACAACAAAGUCUGUACAAGGAGGUAAACGUUUUUGGCAAUCCAAAAGGUCGGAGUAAAGAUACCCCUCAAUAUGUUGAGGUAUGCGAGGCAUGUAAAGCCUUUCUGGAUAGCAAGGAACCAAUUCCUAGUGAGCUUUUGGCCAAACUUAUCAAGUUUAAGUUGUUGUCAUUAAAAUCUGACGACAUAUGCAAAUCUAAACCUGUAGAAAAACGUAAAGCAUCCUUGCAGAGUGUCGACCUCAAAAAGGUUAAAACUGGUAAAGGGGCCAAGGCUGCUGGGAAGAAAACGGCUGCUGCUAAACCAGUUGAAGAAGGCAGCAUCAAAGAAGGAACACACCUAAAGAAACGUUCUGAAGAAAUCUAUGACUACAAAUAUAUCGAUGAUGAGCCAGAAUUUGGUCCUAACUAUUAUGCUGUUAUUAGCGGAUUCUAUGAACCCAGUUUACCAAUACUUUUAGCUGAUAUUGAUAUCCUGAUUGAUGUUGUUGUGAAGUUUGGUUCUACCCAUUAUACUGGUUUGGCCAUUGAGGUGAUAAACAAGGACAACCUCAUACCUAAAGACUCAAGAUUAAUUGCUCAAGAAGAAGCUGCGGCCGCUGAGACUGAACGCUUAAAGAAAGCAAUGGAUUAUUUCUGGAAGUGGACCAUGGUAUACCUAAAUGAGCAAUCUGCAACAUCACAAACGCGUAACAUUUACGUCACAGACUUUCUGGACGACAAGGAAUCCAAUUUAGAAAAUGAUGGUGCCAAACUCUAUGAGAAGUUUGCCUUCACACUUUAUGGCAUUGUUGAAAAACAGCGCAUGUAUCGGAAUUUCAUAAGGAACACAAAAAUAAUCGCAGUUCCGACCAUUGGUACCAUACCUCCUAGAAUCAUCCCAUUCUCAAGCAAUUUGUGCAUCAUGCCACCCCCACCACAAUAUCCUUUAAUUGAGCCCCGAAUGCUUGACACUCUGGACAUGCGUUAUUAUGAUGACUUGAUGGAUACCAUUCCCAUGGAGUGUGUCACCAUUCCCCUCGUUUUGCAUGCCAUGAUCGAACAGGUGGUUGCAAUAGAGAGACAUACACUGCCUCCCCGAGAGUACCAACCGCCUCCUACAAUUGAUGGUUUGAACCAAGAUUUGGCAAAGCAUUUGUCUAUGGUACUUCAGAAGCUUAUUUUGGAUGACAACUGCUCUGAGGUGAUUGAUGAUAAGUUGGAAGAGAAAGAAGUUCCCAAGGAAGAACCAUUGAGACUGAUCAGUUAUAAGGAUGAAAGCAGCAAACUUUUCCAUCACUUGAAACCUUUCCAUGAUUUUGUACCAAGUACUGUUGUAGACAAAAUGCUGGAUAAGUUUUGUUUCUGUAGAAUCGAAAAUUUUCCAGAUACAGCACUGAGGCAUAUUGUGGAGGCAGAAGCUCGUGAAUUUCUUCACUUCUGCUCAAAAGAUGGUGUUUCUUAUAAAAUGGUGAAUUUUGUCUUACAACAAAGUGUCUUUCAGACAUUACAACUACCACAUGUGGACAAGGAAGGCCUGCUCCAGCCAUACGCUCCCACUAAUAACAAUGCAUGGGACCACCCGAUAUUCCUGUUGGAACAAACUGUCUUCCCUGAAUACGAAGGAGUUGAGUUCAGUAAUAAGCUGUUGCAAAAUACAUCUUCGACCAUAUCACUUGACUCUGCCCUAGCAGCUUCCUUGGUAACCAAUGAGAAACCCACAUUGUACAGACGUCACUCGUCAGUUGACGAACGAAGUUUGGAUUGGUUCGGCAGUAAAAACGUUAGUCCUGAUAUUGAACGCAUCUGCAAGAAUUUGAUGGAGAAGAUAAAGGCAAGUCGGCAGAGGAAUUUAGAAAAAUGGAACUAUCUGGAACACUUAAGCUCCAGCGUAUUUCAUCAGGUUCUGUUUGAAGCUAUGUACUUCCAGCCCCACUACACUAAAUAUUAUCAUAUCAGAGAAGACAGCCUGUAUUUAAUUUUGGACAACCCUUACAACACAGAAUUGUUCAAUUUACAGACGUGGCAUGUCCAGUUAUAUUCCAAUAUUGGAUUUAGGAACUUCAUGUUUUAUGUUGCUGAUGAAAUCAAGGAAUGGUCCUUAGAAGAAGACAAAAAGGAGCUGGAGCAACUAAGAGAAGAGAAAGCACUGAGGCUGCUGGAACAACAAACAGUUGUGAGUGAGUAUUUUAAGGUUGAUAGAAUAGAGAACAGACACUCACUUGACGAUAAAAAAGUGCUUAAAAAGAAAGAACUAGUUUCCAAUGUAAAUUCUGAGCAGUCUAAAUCCAUAUUCGAUGAAGAUCAGUUUACAAGGCCCCAUUCUCUCAAGGCUUCCAAGAAGGAAGAACAUCUUCUGAAGGUCGACGAUUUUGAUAAAGAAAAGAAGAAACGAAAAUCUCCACCAAGACAAGAUAAAUCACCUGACAAAGAGAAACGGAUCAUGUCUCGUUGUAGCAUCAAAACUCCCAGAAUCGGUCGUUUCAAGUCAAUGUAUGAUGACAGUCUCUACGAUAUGCAUGCCAGCCAGAUAGAACAGGACGCUGACAGACCUGAAUUACCCUUUUCAGGUUACAAGCUGGACGACAACCUUAUAAAACUAACCAGCAAAUGUUACACAAUGUUUCCUUGUGAUGGUUCCCAAAUACGAGUCACAACCGAGAACUUUUUAACAGGCGCCAAAAAUGUGAGAUGUUCAGUUCUACUGAAUGGUCACGUCUUCUCUGUACACAUCCUGAAUCCAAUUGAAUCAGACGCAUUGGAAACGGAGUGUUUGCCUCCAGCAACUUUCAGAAAUCCAGUGACAACUUCUGCCUCUUCACUGCAACCACAAACAAAUAAGCCAAUUAUUAUUACUAGUCCGAGCACUGGUGCCGUUGAUACACAAGAGACUGAGACGAAGAUGCCGAUAUUUAGUGAGUUCGGCUCAUUUACAGCUACCCUAGCAGAUGGAGUGGUCCUGGCAUACAGUCAGUUUGGGCCAACUGGUUACUUCAGAAACUUCUCAGGUAAUAUUGAUCAGACUUCAUCCAUGAAGGACAUCAAAGACCAGCUGUUCAUGUCCAGUGAAUCGUUUUUUAAAGAGAGAAGCCGAAAGAGAUCCAGGUUCAGCAUGGACCGCUUUCAAUCCAGCGAUAUGGUCAUAGGUUUUUCCAAAAAAUGCGGUUCAGAAACAGAUGCUCAAUUUGGAUCAUUUCCUACAUUAUAUUUAACCUGUCCAGAUGGUUUAAAAAUUGACUAUGACGUAUUACAUUCCAAAGUGAAUAACGAUGAUUACCUGAUUGUGAGGCAGAGUUUCCCCUUUAAUAGCAAAGGACUUCAAACUUGUGAACUGGUACGAAAUGAGCAUAGUUACCUUGAAGAACGGAGAACAGUGUUACCUAAUGGAACUGUUAUUAAGAAAAUGAAAAAUGGAAAAUACCAUGUACUCCACGCUGAUGGCACGGUGGCUCAUGGGGAAUUUGCCUCUGAUAAACAAAUUAUGCAUACUACAGAGAAAAGUGACAUUGCUGACCUUAAUAUAGUUUCACUGACCUGUGAGAUAGAAAAACUGGACUUGAAAACUAUGAAGUGGACAGUUAUUCAAUCAAAUGGUCAGAAAGUUAUUUUGUAUCCGGGCGGCAAGAAGGAAUAUCUGCCGAAAGUCUUGUUCAGUAUGAAAUCAGAUGUAAAAUCUGGACAGACAAUGAUGACCAGAGAUGACAAUGUGAUAUUGAUCAGCGAACCAAGUGGGAAGACCACUGUGGAACAUCAGGACGGCACCAGAAUCACUUCUUAUUUUGAGAAAGUUUAUAUGUCUGAAAACUGUAAAGCUAGUUAUUCAAACUAUGAGAACAUCACUAUGGCCAUGUUUGCCAUGGUAGAAUGUCCCAGUUAUGCCACAAUCAAAUUCAAUAUUAAAACUCAGGAGAACCAUACUAUGAUUGGCAACGGUACCAUCAUCAACGUGUUCUCAAAUGGGUUUUUGCGUAUGCUAUUUGGAAGUUCUUUAACAUCUGAGAUGUUGAAAUUGGGUUUAGAUGGGUCUUUUAUUUAUACGAAUGUUAUUGGUGAAAAUCAACAGAGCAAAUGCAACCCACCAAUUGAAAGUACCUACUACUUCAAGCACAAUUCCAACAUCAUCUGUGAGACAACAGACGUCAAAGGCAACACCUUUUAUGUCAAUUACAAGGGCGAGAAAGAAAUCGUGAAAGAGGCAAGAGAAAACAAUGAUGACAAUAAAUUUCGUGAGGGCAUCCAGCAUAGUCCAAGGUAUUUUAUUCUGCAUCGUGACGGCUGCGUAGAUGAAUUGUUAAACAAGAAUGUAGUCGAUGACUUUGUCGAAGACACUGAGCAACAACCGACAGCUACUGUCUUAAAAGACAUCUUCCAAGACAAUUCUGGAAUGUCAGGAAUAACUUAUUUGAAGCCGAUCCAGAAAAACGCCUCUGACAAUUGGGUUGUAGAGUACGAAUGCAAUACCAUCAUUCCACCAGGCUUCCUGGAAAACAGUGAGACUUUAUGUAAUGUAAAAUCAACUGAUCAUCAAAUCAAAAAGUGCCCUAAUCUUCUGGAAACUCGCCAGUUUACACAGUAUGAGGACCUUGACAAAGAUCUUCAGCGCAGAGUCCACCGAGGACUUUACAACUACAUUUACUACAAAUUCCAGCGUCAUUUCCAGUUGGAGAAUUUAACAGUUUUUGACACGAGGAAAGCAGAGGAAGAGGCCAAGGCCAAAUCUAUUGAAGCGUAUGUGCAACAACUACCAGAAUUGCACUCUCAGCAUAUAAUGAACAAUGACAAUGUGAAGAAGAUGUACGAGAAUGCGAUGAACCAGGGCCAGACAAUUGUCGAGGUUGAAUCAGUGUUCAAUGAACCCCCAGUGGAGAAGGAAAAGUCCCAGAAUUAUUGCUAUGAUGAAAGCAUCAGGAAGGCAUUGCGUAACAAAACUAUCCCGAAUUACUUUGAAAGUGUUUUUGGAAAAACUUUUCUUGCUAACCAAGAGGAAGAAAAACUUGAUGAAGAACUGAAGAACCAUUGCAUCUUUAAUGGAAUUGCAGAAGAACCAGAAGAAGAAGAUUCUUCACUAACUGUAACAAGUGACAUUGCAGAAGCUGAAACUCCCCAGGGACUGCGACCCAUCAACCCGUCUCCAGCGCAUGCUUCGGGCAAUGCUUCACCCACAUCUGUUCGACCCACAAAUCCGACCCCACAUAUUUCAAAUGUUCCGUUUACAGACAGGCCCAGCAGCCUAACUGGAGAUGAAGCUCCUCAGUUGAAACAACUAGCAGAGAUCACUAGACCAAAUCUAUUUCAAAGGCAUUCAGAACCUCUAGCAUUAGCACUAGAAAUUCCUGGUAAUACAAUCCUACCGAAACUGUUUAUUUCUACACCAACAACCCACUCCCCAGAUAUGAUAAAUGAAAUGUCUUGCACCGACAGACUGAUCAAUGGUAGACUCGCUGGUUCCUCUCUCCAAGAAAAGGACAGGAUGAAACUCACCAAGUCCCUUGAACUGUCUGUGAACGAGAUUCAGUUUGGUAAAGUCAGAGUGGGUCAGACCUAUGAAAAAUCCUUCUUUCUUAGAAAUACUGGGGUCGAUUCCUGCCGCUUUAAAAUAAAACAACCACCUCCUUCUUCUGGCCUGAAGAUUCUCUACCGACUUGGACCUAUUGCUGCUGGUCUCCAAGAGAAGUUGACAGUCAAACUCCACAUUCCUGCACCUCUAGCUGACAAAUAUGAAGGUGGCAUCAGUUUGAAAUAUGAUUUAUGUAUUGUCACAGAGAAAACAUCGUUGGUACUUCAGAUUUUGGCUGCUGCUGUACUCCAGCGUGGAUACACUCUUACAAAGAACUUGAUGUCUCCAGUGAAGUGAAACCAUGCCUUCUCUUUGGAUUCAUUAUCUCAUUUUACAAUACAAGGAUGGUAAGCUAACUUUCCCUCUUUUUUGUUUGUUUGUUUGGAUCAUACCUACAUGAGUGGGGUGGAUUAUUCAUUGAUCCAUCUCACCACCACCACCACCACCUCUACUUUUCUUACUGUUAACCAUUUCAAUUGGAAAGUCUGAAGAGAUGGAAUGUUGGUUUUGUUUAGUAAGAUAAACAGGAACAAGCAUUCUCAGGAAUGGUGUGCAACAGGUGAACCGUGAAUAAAGAUUUGAACUUGCAGCUUUGAGAAUCUUCAAAAACCGACUUUCUAUGUAAAUAUUUGACCACCCCUCUGAAAACUCACAUCUGAAAAUAUUGCUUUUUACAGUUCAUAUAUUGGAAAACUAGUUGUUCCCCCACGGAUCUUGCGUACUGUUAUUGGACUAUUAAAACAUAGCUUUAAUCUGACCAAA